CUGAAUCCCUCAGCUCACUCAGUUUCAAGACCAUGUCUCCUAAAGACAAAAUAGUCUUAUAGGGUACCUCUUAAGGGCUGGGGUCAUGCGAAUUCAUUCCUGGCUUCUGAAGCAUCAGGAAUGGAACUCUGGCAAUCAUAUCUCUACUGCAUGAUCCAAACCUGGAUGUAGCUGCCUGGAGGGGAGGGCAGGGGCUUGGGCUGUUUGAUUAAAUUAGAUCUACAGAAGUUUGACUUAAUUUUAUUUAUUUAUUUAUUUAUUGCUUUC
rnacentral:lncRNA from 1 species